AACGAACGCUGGCGGCAGGCUUAACACAUGCAAGUCGAACGGGUGUAGCAAUACAUCAGUGGCAGACGGGUGAGUAACACGUGGGAACCUUCCUCGUUGUACGGGACAACUCAGGGAAACUUGAGCUAAUACCGUAUACGUCCGAGAGGAGAAAGAUUUAUCGCAAUGAGACGGGCCCGCGUCGGAUUAGCUAGUUGGUGGGGUAAUGGCCUACCAAGGCGACGAUCCGUAGCUGAUCUGAGAGGAUGAUCAGCCACACUGGGACUGAGACACGGCCCAGACUCCUACGGGAGGCAGCAGUGGGGAAUCUUGGACAAUGGGCGCAAGCCUGAUCCAGCCAUGCCGCGUGAGUGAAGAAGGCCUUAGGGUUGUAAAGCUCUUUUGCCAGGGACGAUAAUGACGGUACCUGGUGAAUAAGCCCCGGCAAACUUCGUGCCAGCCGCCGCCGUAAGAC
rnacentral:rRNA from 1 species